GGCAAAACAAUCGCAUGAGUGCUGCUGUUUGACUGAGGAAGAAUAAAGGAGUCGUGUGGUUGGAGUGGUUUCCACACCUAAUCGAAUCAGUUUGGAUCACUUUGCUUCACCUGAACACCCUGACAGUAUUUACACACUGCUGUCUGACUGCAUUCAGCUGACACUGAGAUGAAGCAGAAAAGAAGCAGCUGGUGAAGGUAGAAAGUGUGUGUGAGCUGAUGUGGAUGUGAAUUCAGCAGC